GAUGAACGCUGGCGGCAUGCCUAACACAUGCAAGUCGAUCGGUAAGGCUCUUCGGAGUACACGAGAGGCGGACGGCUGAGUAACGCGUAGGAACACACCCUGCAGUGAGGGAUAAGACACCGAAAGGUGUUCUAAUACCGCAUACGGUCUUCGGAUUAAAGCAUUUAUGCGCUGAAGGAGUGGCCUGCGUCAUAUUAGAUAGUUGGUGAGGUAAUGGCUCACCAAGUCGAUGAUGUGUAGCUGGUCUGAGAGGAUGAUCAGCCAGACUGGAACUGAGACACGGUCCAGACUCCUACGGGAGGCAGCAGUGAGGAAUAUUUCACAAUGAGCGAAAGCUUGAUGGAGCAAUGCCGCGUGCAGGAUGAAGGCCCUCGGGUUGUAAACUGCUUUUAUAAGAGAAGAUUAUGACGGUAACUUAUGAAUAAGGGACGGCUAACUACGUG
rnacentral:rRNA from 1 species